GCGCCCAUAGCUCAAUGGAUAGAGCGGUAGCCUGCGGAGCUAUAGAUCCAAGUUCGAUUCCUGGUGGGCGCACCA
rnacentral:tRNA from 1 species